CUCUCUGAGCGCAUGCUCUGGACUGGUUCGAAGCGAUGGGGGAAAGGGGGCGGGUCUGUUCCCACGGUUCUCGAGGUUCCCACGCCUCGGAGACCCCGCAAGGCUGUGCCGCUCCAGUGGUCGGCUCAGUGCCCCCUGCCUCUGCACCCCCAGCCUAGCCAUUCUCGGUAAUAAGUGCUUAAAGGAGCAAAGGAGGAAUACUCAAUCCUCACGUAAAUCCAAACCCCUCUGUUAGUUUCCCCCACGGCCCCACGCGGCCUCCGAAUAACUCUUUAACCAGAUUCGCUGGCAGAUAAAUUACUCUGACUACUUGUAGUUACGAGCUGAAACUUCGGGCCAAAAAAAAAAAAAAUGAAGUAGGGUCUCGGCGAUCCGGGUAAAGGAGGACUGGACGUCAAGAGGGUGGGCCUCACAAUGAAGGCUACCUGUUUGCUGGAAAACCACCGUUCAAGAUCUUGUUGCCACUGUUUCUGUGACGGUGCUCUGCAUUGGUUGGUCCUAACUGAAAACAAGGGAACUCUACAGAUGCAAUUCCUACAAGCCACGCUCCAGAGCAGAUGUUACAUGGCAUUGCUACUUUCAACUUCUCUACUAUUUUGGCACCAUCUUCUAGAACAAGUGGAUUGGUCCAGCUCAUUUUCAACACCUUCCUGUCCCAACCCCCUGCCUUAGUUUGCCUCUUGUGAUGCCAAUUCCACCACUGGUGAAGUGGCAGGUGUUUCCUUGUUUACCUUGGUUUUAAUUCAAGCACAUACCAGAGCUAGUCAUUCGGUCUGAAUCCCCGCUGCUCUCUAUUCCUUCAGCGGCACAUGAAAGCAGUCCCCGAGCCCUUCUCCAGACAAACAGCCUAUCCCUGCCUGAAAUCAGCCCUUUGAGUCUCAAUUGCAGCUACUGGGCAAGUCACAGUGCUCUCCCCACUGAAAGAUCUUUUUUGGGCCUGCGGCUGACACAGCCCAGCUUGCGGGGGGUUGGGGAGGCGGGGGGAGCCUUUGAAGUUAGGUGGCCUUGUCCCCAGUGCACAGCGCUCACAGCAUUCAUCCCUAAUAAUAUCUCAUGAAGACAAUCUUUCCCGGGAAACAAAUCAGGCGGCCGCUCCAGUCUAAGUGACCGGCUUCCAAGCCAUGUGUCACACUGCAAGUAUGUGCGCAUUAAGGGGGGGUAUGUUUUCCUGGCUCCAGACCUGAAAACCAACUCUGCCCCAAGACUUAGUCGGCAGCCCGAGGACCCACAGCAAACAGAUACACUGCCCGGUCAACCCCGUGGUCUUUCUGCCCCGGCAGGAGAAGUGCCUGUUGGAACACAAAUAGGAUCUGGCUGGAGUGAAGGGGAUUGUUGCAAACUCACAUGCAGCACAUCAGAGUGGAAGCACAUUUUCUUUACUAAAUGAGUGGUUGUUCUCCUCUUCUUCCUUUUCCUCCACCUUUGGGCUUUUGCUGAGAAUGAAAAAGAAGCGAGACAAGAUCUGUAUUUUCCUUUCCCCUCCUCAGCAAGGACUAUGGGAAACAGUAGGUCUCUCUAGUGCUUAGCAUAUUAAAUAUUAACUACCAAAUAAGAACAGAAAGUCCAUUUCCCAGCCCCGCUACUCUGCCGAGCACAAAGAAGUGUUAGAUAGAUAAUAGUAGUAUUUGACAUUUUUUUCCAGGUCUUUCGAUGUGCCAGGCACACAGGCUAAGAGCUUACUGUACAGUCCAGCAUUUGAUUUUCACCUCCAUCAUUUCAAGGCAUAUUACUAUUAUUCCCAUUAUACAGAUAGGGAAACUGGGGCUGAUAGAGUAUAAGAAAUUUACUCCAAAUCUCACAGCCAACAAGAUGAGCUUUGACUCAGCACUUGUAACCAUGCUGUAGUCUGGACUUAAAAACUGUACUCGAGGGACACAUGGGUGGCUCAGUCGGUUGGGUGUCUGUCUUUGGCUGGGGUUGUGAUCCCAGGGUCCUGGGAUGGAGCCCCGCAUCAGGCUCCUUGCUCAGCGGGGAGCCUGCUUCUCCCUCUGCCUGCUGCUCCCCCUGCUUGUGCUCUCGUGCGCUCUCUCUCUCCCACGCUCUCUCUCUAGCAAAAAAACAAAACAGAACAAAACUGUACUCGAAUAGAGCAUAUGUACAAGUCAUACACCUUGGGUUCUAUAUCGCCAGGCACUAAUUGAUAGUUUAUCUAAGAUUCCACGCUGUAAAACUGCUGUCAUGUCCUGCCUGUGUCUCUAACCAAAGGAAAAUAUCAGAAUCUCCUGAACGUGGUGACUCCAUGGGCUCAUAAGAAAAGGCUUCAGUCUCCGGGCUGAAGAAGGGGGUCUCCCAAACUGCUUGAGUUUUAGCUUUUGAGAUUGACAUUAUGCUUCUUGAGCUGUAUGGCGGAUAUCUCCUUAUUCUAAAUGAAUACUUUUUGCAGAAUUGAAGAUUAAUAAAAAUCGGUCCAUAAAUUUUAUAGUGUGUAUUGUGUGUUCAUGGCUCUGCUGGGCUCUGUAGAAGAUAAGGAGGAAUAUGAAACAUGACCUCUUAUGUGGAUUUGGUGACUAGCAAAUGGGACAGACUCGAGGUUCCAUGUCACUCUAAAUUGCUCCCAGUUCCUGGGGCCAGCCAGCCACCCCUAGAGGCAUAUUGUGCUUCCUGGUCCAGCAGAAAUGUAAUCAAUGAUCUUUAGUAGCAGGGUCUGAUGCUUUUAGGUUUUAGGCUUCCUUACACUCUUAAAAAUUAUUGAAGACACA